AGAACUUAGCAGAGAUGCUUUGGUGCCUUCGGGAACUCUGAGACAGGUGCUGCAUGGCUGUCGUCAGCUCGUGUUGUGAAAUGUUGGGUUAAGUCCCGACAACGAGCGCAACCCCUAUCCUUUGUUGCCAGCGGUCCGGCCGGGAACUCAAAGGAGACUGCCAGUGAUAAACUGGAGGAAGGUGGGGAUGACGUCAAGUCAUCAUGGCCCUUACGAGUAGGGCUACACACGUGCUACAAUGGCGCAUACAAAGAGAAGCGACCUCGCGAGAGCAAGCGGACCUCAUAAAGUGCGUCGUAGUCCGGAUUGGAGUCUGCAACUCGACUCCAUGAAGUCGGAAUCGCUAGUAAUCGUGGAUCAGAAUGCCACGGUGAAUACGUUCCCGGGCCUUGUACACACCGCCCGUCACACCAUGGGAGUGGGUUGCAAAAGAAGUAGGUAGCUUAACCUUCGGGAGGGCGCUUACCACUUUGUGAUUCAUGACUGGGGUGAAGUCGUAACAAGGUAAGCGUAGUGCU
rnacentral:rRNA from 1 species